rnacentral:rRNA from 1 species
GAUGAACGCUGGCGGCGUGCCUAAUACAUGCCAGUCGAGCGAACAGACGAGGAGCUUGCUCCUCUGACGUUAGCGGCGGACGGGUGAGUAACACGUGGAUAACCUACCUAUAAGACUGGGAUAACUUCGGGAAACCGGAGCUAAUACCGGAUAAUAUAUUGAACCGCAUGGUUCAAUAGUGAAAGACGGUUUUGCUGUCACUUAUAGAUGGAUCCGCGCCGCAUUAGCUAGUUGGUAAGGUAACGGCUUACCAAGGCAACGAUGCGUAGCCGACCUGAGAGGGUGAUCGGCCACACUGGAACUGAGACACGGUCCAGACUCUUACGGGAGGCAGCAGUAGGGAAUCUUCCGCAAUGGGCGAAAGCCUGACGGAGCAACGCCGCGUGAGUGAUGAAGGUCUUCGGAUCGUAAAACUCUGUUAUUAGGGAAGAACAAAUGUGUAAGUAACUAUGCACGUCUUGACGGUACCUAAGCAGAAAGCCACGGCUAACUACGU